GAUGAACGCUGGCGGCGUGACUAAUACAUGCAAGUCGAGCGAACAGAUGAGAAGCUUGCUUCUCUGAUGUUAGCGGCGCACGGGUGAGUAACACGUAGGUCAUCAACCCUCGAGUGGUGGAUAACUCUCCGAAAGGAGAGCUAAUACAGCAUGAUGCUAGCAAUAGCCAAAGCGGGCCUCUUCAUGAAAGCUCGCGCUAGAGGAUGAGCCUGCGGCCCAUCAGGUAGUUGGCGGGGUAAUGGCCCACCAAGCCAUAGACGGGUAGCUGGUCUGAGAGGAUGAACAGCCACACUGGAACUGAGACACGGUCCAGACUCCUACGGGAGGCAGCAGUCGGGAAUCUUCCGCAAUGGGCGCAAGCCUGACGGAGCGACGCCGCGUGAGCGAUGAAGGCCUUCGGGUUGUAAAGCUCUGUGGGGAGAGAAGAAUAAGUUCAGGCGAAUACCCUGAAUGAUGACGGUAUCUCCUUAGCAAGCACCGGCUAACUCUGUGCCAGCAGCCGCGGUAA
rnacentral:rRNA from 1 species